GAUGAACGCUGGCGGCGUGCCUAAUACAUGCAAGUCGAGCGAACAGACGAGGAGCUUGCUCCUCUAACGUUAGCGGCGGACGGGUGAGUAACACGUGGAUAACCUACCUAUAAGACUGGGAUAACUUCGGGAAACCGGAGCUAAUACCGGAUAAUAUAUUGAACCGCAUGGUUCAAUAGUGAAAGACGGUUUUGCUGUCACUUAUAGAUGGAUCCGCGCCGCAUUAGCUAGUUGGUAAGGUAACAGCUUACCAAGGCAACGAUGCGUAGCCGACCUGAGAGGGUGAUCGGCCACACUGGAACUGAGACACGGUCCAGACUCCUACGGGAGGCAGCAGUAGGGAAUCUUCCGCAAUGGGCGAAAGCCUGACGGGGCAACGCCGCGUGAGUGAUGAAGGUCUUCGGAUCGUAAAACUCUGUUAUUAGGGAAGAACAAAUGUGUAAGUAACUAUGCACGUCUUGACGGUACCUAAUCAGAAAGCCACGGCUAACUACGUG
rnacentral:rRNA from 1 species